GGUUCUGUAGGGAUCAGCCACUUAGGCAACAAAAGACUGGGAUCUGCAGAGAAAAUUUCGCAUCUUGAAUGCAGCAAAAGCAUGCGGGCGCCUGCACCUUGGUCUUUGUUUCUCAUCGGGGCUGGGUGUUUUCCCAUGGCCAGUGCUCAUGAAUUUGAAUUUUAAGAGCCAACAUCCAGUCAUCAAGCCUUUCACAAAAGAGGGUUGUCUUCCUUGUCAAGCAAAUCAGCAGGAGGAGGGGAACCCCUGAUUUUCCAGGGCACCCGGAUCCUUUCAAGGGCUGCCUCCUCUCCUCCAAUCCCUAGCAAAGUUGUUUGGGUUUUUUUUUGUUUGUUUGUUUGUUUUUUGUUUUUUUUUGUUUUUGUUUUUGUUUUUUUUUUUUUUAGAUUCUUCAACCUGGAGCACAGAGAAGCACAGAAUUGUUCACAGUGCAGCCUAGUAAACUGCAUUUCCAUAGUACAGAGUCGUCCUGGGAAGAAUACAAGAACCAGAAGUACUCAAACGGAGGCAUGCUAGAACUCAGACAGCCUGCCUGCGUAAGGUGCAGUCUGUGAAAGCCGUCAGUGUGAAAAUGGAUCCAUUUUUAAAUGAAGCAAAUUCACCAGCAGCAGAAUAGGAAAAGACUUGUCAGAAAGGGCCAGCUGCAGAGCCACGCAGCCUUACAAGCAGGGACGUGAAGAAACCGGAUUUGUUAUGGCCAACAGAGAGACACUGCAAACCCCAGAUUGUGCCUCAUGGCAAGAAAACUCACGACAGCUGCUCCGUUGUUCUCCCUGUAGCAGACAGUGAACCACGCCAGCCUGUGUGGGGAGUGGAGGAAACCCUGAGCAUGUGAAGUCCUGAGUGGAUGUGUGUAGACAUGAGCUGGCCAUGUCAAGGACCCCAGUGUCUCAGUCCCAUGGGAGUGGCAAAGUCUUACCUGGGUGACGCUCAGGGAAAUGCCAGACUUUCCCCCUGGUCCAUGUGUGGAUGUUGGCAAUGUGUGCAGAAAAUAUCUCCCAAAGCUUUGCCACCACACAGUGUUAAUUGCCUGAAGACUGCUCCCCUACAGAGACUACACCUACAGAGAUGAGCAAAACCUGCCUUCUUGAUUCAGCUGUAUAUCAUAAAUCCUGCCUCCAGAUUCAGCUAAUAUGCAAUUACCCCACCUCUGUCUUCAACUGUAUAUAACAAGCACAAUGUGUUUCUAGGUUGCUGCAGCUAGUCCAUCAAGAAAUCCAGUCCACCUGAUCCCAACUCUUCUGUCUACAUGUCUGUCAUUUCAUCAGUCUGUCUUCUUCAUUCCCUCAAUGCCCCAGUGAGACCCAAUUCUGGGAGCUAUGCAAUGAUGUAGCAAGCCUGGGAAUGAAAUGAAUACAAUUUUACCAGAGACUUUCAGAGAGAGUCUUUCUACCUUCUCUGCUACUGGUGGGAAGGAUACAUAAACUCUGCCCAUCAUCCACAGAAGUGAUGUGUCACAGUUCUAAGUCACUCUUUUGCUAUGGAAGUGUGGUAGCACAAAAGGUUGAUGGAUGGGCCCCAGUGUGGUUCUCGGUUGUCUGGAUCAAAAUGUGCCUAGAACAUGGGCUCAGGAAACUUGAGCAAUAAACUCAAGAAAGCUCUUCCCUCUUACAAUGAUGAAUGGGA
rnacentral:lncRNA from 1 species